rnacentral:rRNA from 1 species
ACGCUCGAUACCUACGGAGGCAGCAGUGGGGAAUAUUGCACAAUGGGGGAAACCCUGAUGCAGCGACGCCGCGUGGAGGAAGAAGGUCUUCGGAUUGUAAACUCCUGUUGUUGGGGAAAAAGAGGAUGGUACCCAACAAGGAAGUGACGGCUAACUACGUGCAAGCAGCCGCGGUAAUCUGAGCGGGCUGGCAAGGC